AUACUUACCUGGCAGGGGAGAUACCAUGAUCACGAAGGUGGUUUUCCCAGGGUGAGGCUCAUCCAUUGCACUCCGGAUGUGCUGACCCCUGCGAUUUCCCCAAAUGCGGGAAACUCGACUGCAUAAUUUGUGGUAGUGGGGGACUGCGUUCGCGCUCUCCCCUG
rnacentral:snRNA from 1 species